rnacentral:lncRNA from 1 species
AGUUUAAUCUAAAUUAUAAAAAGGAGAUUUAAUCCAUAUUAUGGAUCCUCCUUGUACUGCUGUGCUCUCUCUCUGUUUAGAUUAUUUUUUCUUGAGCGGUCUAAAUUUUCGAAUAUGUCAAUUUCAAACACAGAGAUCCAACGAGGAUUUUGACUGAUAAAUUCAUAUCAACCAAGCUGAAACUUGAUCAGAUAGAGACAGGUCCCCCUUCACGUUUAUGAUGAGUCAAUAAUGUCCAUGCUUUCUUUUGUUGAUUUGCAAUUUUCCACUUGAACUGACUUUGUUGCAUGUUUUUGGUUUCAUAUUUGGUGCAGGUUCUCAAAUAUUGUCUUCUUUGUUUGGAAUUUGGUUGUACUAAAGUAUGAUGCUUUGGAUUACACGUAACGCAUGAAAAAGGAAAAAAUAAGAAAGAUGACAGAGGGCAUUUUUUUGGAUGGUGGAGCGCGAUCACGUCGUAUAGCCAGUUCAUAUGUUACAUAAUAGGUAUAUUUAGUGAUACACUAAUACUGUAGCAGUGUGCUUUCUUUACUUUUUAAGGGUUCUAAUGCGGUUCUGUGAUUUUUUAUGAUGGAUUGGAU